CUUACCAUGCAAGUCGAACGGUGAAGCAGAGCUUGCUCUGCCGAUCAGUGGCGAACGGGUGAGUAACACGUGAGUAACCUGCCCUUGACUCCGGGAUAAGCGUUGGAAACGACGUCUAAUACUGGAUACGACCUCGCGCGGCAUCGCGUCUGGUGGAAAGAACUUCGGUCAAGGAUGGACUCGCGGCCUAUCAGCUUGUUGGUGAGGUAAUGGCUCACCAAGGCGACGACGGGUAGCCGGCCUGAGAGGGUGACCGGCCACACUGGGACUGAGACACGGCCCAGACUCCUACGGGAGGCAGCAGUGGGGAAUAUUGCACAAUGGGCGCAAGCCUGAUGCAGCAACGCCGCGUGAGGGAUGACGGCCUUCGGGUUGUAAACCUCUUUUGGCAGGGAAGAAGCGAAAGUGACGGUACCUGCAGAAAAAGCACCGGCUAACUACGUGCCAGCAGCCGCGGUAAUACGUAGGGUGCAAGCGUUGUCCGGAAUUAUUGGGCGUAAAGAGCUCGUAGGCGGUUUGUCGCGUCUGCUGUGAAAACGCGAGGCUCAACCUCGCGCCUGCAGUGGGUACGGGCAGACUAGAGUGUGGUAGGGGAGAUUGGAAUUCCUGGUGUAGCGGUGGAAUGCGCAGAUAUCAGGAGGAACACCGAUGGCGAAGGCAGAUCUCUGGGCCAUUACUGACGCUGAGGAGCGAAAGCGUGGGGAGCGAACAGGAUUAGAUACCCUGGUAGUCCACGCCGUAAACGUUGGGAACUAGAUAUGGGGGCCAUUCCACGGUCUCCGUGUCGCAGCUAACGCAUUAA
rnacentral:rRNA from 1 species